rnacentral:rRNA from 1 species
CCUACGGGAGGCAGCAGUGGGGAAUAUUGCACAAUGGGGGGAACCCUGAUGCAGCGACGCCGCGUGGGUGAAGGAGUAUCUCGGUAUUUUAAGCCCCAUCAGCCGGGAAGAACAAUGACGGUACCUGACCAAGAAGCACCGGCUAAAAACGUGCCAGCAGCCGCGGUAAUACGUAUGGUGCAAGCGUGAUCCGGAUUUACUGGGUGUAAAGGGAGCGCAGGCGGCGCGUUAAGCCUGGUGUGAAAGCCCGCGGCCCAACCGCGGGACUGCAUUGGAAACUGGCGCGCUGGAGUGCCGGAGGGGUAGGCGGAAGGCGGAGUGUAGCGGUGAAAUGCGUAGAUAUUAGGAGGAACACCAGUGGCGAAGGCGGCCUACUGGACGGUGACUGACGCUGAGGCUCGAAAGCGUGGGGAGCAAACAGGAUUAGAUACCCCUGUAGUC